rnacentral:misc_RNA from 1 species
UGAUUCGUAGUUCGGCGAGCCGGGCUCUGAGAGUGUCGAUCAUUACGUCGAGCUUUCGUCGUUCGGAGUUACGUGCAUUGCGGUUCAUCGGUUCCGAACAUCAGCUCGAAAACAAACAAAAAUGGUAACAACAAAGUGUCACACCAUGAAAACGACAUCACUGGACGAUUAGUUGCGUGGCUAUAAUUCGACUAUCCGGUAAACUGUGACGUUUCUAAUUAACUUUGAAAAUAACACCGAGGAUAUCCAUGAGUGAGUGUGUCUGCAUAACGGAGCUUUUCAAAGCGAGAUAUCAAUCGAUGGACAGUAUCUCUUGAAGGAUUGCAGCUCUAGUUAGAGACAACGACAAAGUUGGAUUAUAAUGAGUGAGAAAAUGACGUUGACGUUUCAUUCUCCGAUAAUGGAAGAGGUCGAGCGAGGCUUGUUAUCCGAGGGUCUGGAGCAACGCAAAGAGGCAUUCAAGGACGAUGAGGAAUUGAUGAAGGAAACCACAAGGUUCGUCGCUGACGUCAUUGAGUCCGCAACCACCGAGGCCUCUAGACGGAAGUGUCAAAAAGCGGAGUUCCAAGCUGACGAAGGAAGUAGUUUGAGAGGGGGAGAUCGUAUCCGCGGUUGGAACUCACGGGCUCGGGGCUUCUGCAACCGAAUUCUGAAUGCAGUUUGUCCCUGCAUCACGACCAAUGAAUUUAUCAGCUGGGCCUCCUAUCGCUUUACGAGACCUUAGCCAGCUCCCGCGGGCUUCAGGAAUGAAUUCUCCCUCACUCAAUCGACGUACCGUUCGUCGAUGUAACCGAUAAAGUGAAUUUUUCAAUUUCACAGCUGACUUCGUAAAAGAUCAAACGAUCGAGAGACGAUGAAGUAACCGAUUUAUGUUCAUAUGUGUAUAAUAUCACAUUACGUAUGUAUGUGUACUAACUAACUAUGGUACGAAUCUAUACGAUAAGCGUACAGUUUUUUUUACCGUCGAACAAUUAUUGUUCACUUUUAUGGAGAAUAAUGAUCGUCGGCUAUAUAACGAGUGAAAUUAUAACACGAGGUGACUAUACUAUAUUCAGUGUACUGUAUAAUUGGAUUGAACAAUCUGAUUGUGAAUAACACCCUUGCUAAAAGACGGAAGUAAAACACACCCAAAACAGUGCGAUGAGUGCACAUAAUGAAAGUCGAGAGAAAAAUUGUGCAGGAAAUUAUAUAUAUUUAAGAAACUGUUAAUAUUAGUUGAACAGAAUUAAUUAUAAAUAUGUCUAUAUAUAUAUAUAUUUACACCGCUCGUCUGACAAUCAGCGAAGCUUUCGGCCACAUUAUCGACCAAUACAUUCGUGUAACAAUAAAUGUACAAAAACCACGUAUAUGGAUAUCGUGCAUAUCUUCUUGAUCUUGCAAUGUUAUAGCUAUAACUAACGGAAAAAAUUCCUCGUCCCCAUUUGAGCUCUGCACAGCAUUAGUUGUUCGAAAUAAAAAUAAGCUCUGAGCUUUUUACGCAGGCACUUUAACGUUUUACGUGUAUAAAAUUCGAAUUGGAUGGCUGUUACGACGGUGAUAAUCGUUCAUAUUAGUAAAGUGGUCGUCAAGCUACGUUACACAGCCUCUGAAAACGUUGCAAAAGAGUGAUCGAUUUCGUCCGAAUGAAAUUCAGGUCACAUGCAGUGCUGAACAACUGGCGUGAUACGUACUUCUGUAUAGCUGUAGGUUAAUUUUAUUGCAGUACUGUGGACCGCGGUUGAAUCGAUAAUGCAGUAUCACUACUAUUCACUGCCGAAGCUAUAACUGUUACUUUCAAGGCUCACGGCAGUGAUUGUACAAACGAAAACGGAUCAAUAAAAUUUGCAACUGUAAUUUUCUGUUCUGAUUAACUAAGAUUUUAAGCAGAGAAACCGAAAGAAAAACAGUCUUGGCUACUACGCGAAAGGAAAGGAAUUCGUGAACCAACAAAAUAGAUUUUGUUGGAGUCAAUUAACUUCGAUCUAGUACCCUUCAUUUGUUCCAAAUACGAUGACGUCAAUUCAAUAAUUUCGAUUUAUCUAGUUUGUCAAUAUGAUUUGGUCAAGCGAAUUUCUUCGUUCAACGAAAGCCUUUCUUGUAGUGAUCGAGUCAAGUAUUGAUUCACGUGAAUCUUUUGACGUGUUUCCGAAAUUGAGUAAACUAAAUAUGAUUUUAUUUGAAGUUUACGUAUUGUUCCUACGAGUCGCAUGUUUGUUGACAAAAACAAUUAGGUACUCUAAAUAAAAGGAGUACAUGAAUCUGGCCGGUAAAAAGUUCAGGUACAUGAAUUGAAUGCCAUGCUUUGGUGAUCUUAAACCAGAGCUUGUUUGGCGUAACUCAUUGAAUCAGUUGCACUAAUUUAUUUACGAAGUAAAAUACACACCACAUGCUUUGAAACAAGUAUAGAACAUAUUCAUCAUAAACAUUAGUCUACUAGUACUAUAAACGGCAACCAGGAGGUGAACUCUACCCCACAAAAUUAUAAGUCAACAGAAUUAUAAAUGAUAUUAUUCGAAGAAUACGUUUUGGUUGCUUGGAAAACUGUAAUAUUCGAUUAAUGCAAAAGACAACAAAUUCAUUACCUGAUUCAACCAUUGAACUCUUGACUCAACACGACAUGAAUAAUAAUCCUUUCCUUCCGUGUACUUGUCGUUUAUUGACUGUUACAAAAUAUCCGUUACCAUCUGAAUGAAUAGGCUUUGUGAGACAGUUGGGAAAUGUUCUAUUAGUAAACCGAUUGUAUCUUGUUUACUGUAUACUAUUUGUACUUAAAAUAAUACCAAUGUAAUAUUAAAUAUGAAGUUAUAUCAACGGUGUAGUAUAAGCGAUAUUGUAUAUCUUUAUAUUAGAGAGCAUUUAAUUGUAUGUGUAAAUACGAUAUAAAAACGCAGUUUCCAGCCUCCGGGACAUAGCUAUUAUGAAAAGCGAAUGAAUUAUUAAAUAAGCUAAGUGACAAUCAUCAAUGAAAAUCAAAAACAGGUCAUCAUAGUUGUGUAAGUAUGCUGUAACAUUGUACAAUGAGAUGAAUAAAUUUUU